GCUUUCGUGGUGUAAUGGUAGCACACUCGGCGCGUAUUCAAGAGUUCCAGGUUCGAAUUCCGGCGAGAGCA
rnacentral:tRNA from 1 species